GCUGACGAGGACAGAUUUGAAUGCUUGCAACCUCGUUCAAAAAAAUGCUAAAAUAUGAACU
rfam:Bacteroides sp. CAG:1060 genomic scaffold, scf62